rnacentral:rRNA from 3 species
AAAUUGAAGAGUUUGAUCAUGGCUCAGAUUGAACGCUGGCGGCAGGCCUAACACAUGCAAGUCGAGCGGAAACGAGUUAUCUGAACCUUCGGGGAACGA